GAUAUCACUACAUCAGAUUUACUAGAAAGAGUAGUUUACCCUGAGGAAAUUACACAUCGACUUUCAGAUUCUUCUAAUCUCAUUCUGCUUUUAUUUUCAAUGUAGAGGUGUAGUGUAGAGGCUUAGGUACCGUACUUUUCAUUUUUUCAAUGAAAAAAUGCCAAAAUUUUAUUAUCAUAAAAAAGGAAAAUAAAAUAAUAAAAGCAAC
rnacentral:lncRNA from 1 species